GCAAACUUGGUCAUUUAGAGGAAGUAAAAGUCGUAACAAGGUUUCCGUAGGUGAACCUGCGGAAGGAUCAUUCAAAAUAAAAGUGAAAUUCUAUAUGGCACUUUUAAAACAAUCCAUAUUCACCUUGUGUGCAAUGUUUAUAUAGGAAAAAAAAAAACAGUUGGUCUUUUUGGCCUUCCUUUUCUUUUCCUGUUUAACUUAAUUACUCUUAUUAUUUUUUUUAACAAGAAAUCGUCUGAAAAACUAUUAUUGAAUAAAAACUUAAUUCAAAAAUAUAACUUUCAACAACGGAUCUCUUGGCUCUCGCAUCGAUGAAGAACGCAGC
rnacentral:misc_RNA from 1 species